UACGUAGGUGCAAGCGUUAAUCGGAAUUACGUGGGACGUAAAGCGUGCGCAGGUCGGUUUUGUAAGCCAGAUGUGAAACGCCCCGGGCUCAACCUGGGAACUGCGUUUGGAACUACAAGACUAGAGUGUGUCAGGAGGGGGGUGGAAUUCCGCGUGUAGCAGUGAAAUGCGUAGAGAUGCGGAGGAACACCGAUGGCGAAGGCAGCCCCCUGGGAUAACACUGACGCUCAUGC
rnacentral:rRNA from 1 species